rnacentral:tRNA from 1 species
GCCUCGGUGGAAUCGCUGGUAGGCAGUUGGACUCACAAUCCAAAGGUCGUCAGUUCAAAUCCCGGGGUG